GAUGAACGCUGGCGGCGUGCCUAAUACAUGCAAGUCGAGCGAACAGACGAGGAGCUUGCUCCUUUGAUGUUAGCGGCGGACGGGUGAGUAACACGUAGGUAACCUACCUAUAAGACUGGGAUAACUUCGGGAAACCGGAGCUAAUACCGGAUAAUAUUUCGAACCGCAUGGUUCGAUAGUGAAAGAUGGCUUUGCUAUCACUUAUAGAUGGACCUGCGCCGUAUUAGCUAGUUGGUAAGGUAACGGCUUACCAAGGCAACGAUACGUAGCCGACCUGAGAGGGUGAUCGGGCACACUGGAACUGAGACACGGUCCAGACUCCUACGGGAGGCAGCAGUAGGGAAUCUUCCGCAAUGGGCGAAAGCCUGACGGAGCAACGCCGCGUGAGUGAUGAAGGUCUUCGGAUCGUAAAACUCUGUUAUUAGGGAAGAACAAACGUGUAAGUAACUGUGCACGUCUUGACGGUACCUAAUCAGAAAGCCACGGCUAACUACGUG
rnacentral:rRNA from 1 species